CUUACUGUCUUAAAUGAUUCAUUCCACGAAAUCAUCUUUCAUAUUGGACAAACCUGCAAGCAAUCAUUCUGAGAUUUUGAGUUAUGAUCUUACCGUUUCAAACAAGUCUCCUUAAGCUGCAUAACCAGUGAAUUGCAGAUGAAUAAUAAAACAGAUCACCUUACAACAGCAACAUUUUCUAAGUUUAAAAAGCCAAUUUGCAAAUCAUACAUAACCUCACUCACAUGUGAGAUUUUUCCUCUCCAGCCAAAGCCUACCAAUGUGAUGGGGAUUGAUAGCUCUGGUUUGACCUAAAAUGAUUUCACAGGGAGUUUUUUUAAGUUGAAAAGCCAAAAAGAAUUUCGAAUAUGACUCUCUCUGUUUGGCUUUACACAAUUGGUAGUCACAAGAGAAGCAUUUAAAUUCUGAGUCAAUUGUUUUUCUUUUAACAAGAAUAAAUGAAAGCAAAAGACAAAAAGAAAAUUCUGUCUCCAUCUCUACAGCUGCGCUGUUUGGAUAUGUUGUGUCAAAAAAGAAAAGAAACUAAACACCUAUCUUUGAAGGACGAAACCAUGCAGCCAUCCUCAGUGAUGCUCCAGACAUGGAUUUCUCUUUGUAGAGCUUCUGGCCCAGACAUUCUCGACCCACAGAAAUCUGCCACAGAUCACGAACUUCCUCUGUCCUGUGGCAAGACACUGUGGCUCACCUAGGAAUAGGCUGCCACCAGUAAUGAAGUCUCUGGAAUCACAAGGCCGGGACCUGAACAGGGCUUGGACCAUGACAGUGACGAUUCUUCAGAUCUUCUUCCAUUGGGCAGCUCUUAUUAGUCUUAUUAUGAAGACUAAUCCAGGAAAGCAACAAAUUGGUGACACAUGAAGUUAAGAAAUUUGUUUGAACUUUUUUCCUAGCAAGACUUUUUGGUCCUCCUAAUAAUCUGGCUUGUCAAUGAUUUUCUCAAAUAUCCCAUAGCUGAGUUUUCACACAUCAAGAUCUACAGUUUGAAGAUCAGACAAGAAGGAGAAAGGACAAAGCUCAAAAGGAGAAAGCUCGUCCAGAGGCUGGAGGAGAAAGUUGAGCCUCCUGGAAGUCCUCCAGAGGGCAGGCUCUAGAAAAUUGAAGUCAGCGGGACAAAUUUCCUUCUUUCCCUGUUAGCAUUACUGGGAACUGCCAGCCUGUCAUUCCUGCCUCCAACCCCACCUGGGUGAGGCAGGGCAGCAAUGGUUGGGGAAUCUAGAUACAGGCAUCUGAGAACAACCUCACAGAGCCUCACCAUGCCAGUGGCCCAUGGAGAAGCAGCCAAGGGUUCCUGGAACCUUGAGGAAGAGAUCCCAAGGAGACCUAGCAUCAAAUGAGAGGGCCACAGUGUGGGGGGACCUGACAACUGGGGACAGUGGCAAGGACCAUGGACAUUCUGACUUGACACUUAUGGGCUGUGGACAAGGCACUUAGUGUGUCUGAGCCACAGUUUCCUUAUCUGUAUCUAAUCUCAUAGGGCUGGUAUGAGAAUUGUACAAGCAAGUACACCCGAAGUUCUUAGAACUAGACCCUUGCUCAUGAUAGGUACUCAACAAAAGCUAGUUUUUAUAAGUAUCAGUUGCAAACACUGCCCUAAACACUGGAUGAGACCAGCCUCAUUCCUGUGGUUGAUGAAGCAAGUCCCCAGUCACUAAGGGACCAAGAGACACUGUGGCAGAUGUGGCAAGUGACCAAACCAAGUGAGAUACCGUGACCAGGGUCAGCAAGGAUGAAAUGACACGUCUCUAGAGCCAACUCGUGAACCACACCCCCACCCCGAUUUACAUCAACCAGAGAAGGAAGAGAUGGAAUAACACAGAGUAAUUACCCAGAAUAUGCUAUCUUAAACUGGAUGAGAUGGAGACAACUUCACCUGACAAAUCAAGUGUUUUCUACCAUCAAGAAACACGAAAGUAGAGUAAAAUGGGACCAGUCCUAGAAAAUAAGGAAAGUUCCUUUUUAUGCACAUGUGAGCCACAGGAGCAGACUUAAAUCUUGUUCUAGGGUCCUUUGGCCUUGUUUUACAGGGAAAUGAAUUUAAUUUUAUGCACAUUCGAUUCAUGUUCAUCAAUCCACUGGGCUGCACUUGUCUGU
rnacentral:lncRNA from 1 species